rnacentral:rRNA from 1 species
AACGAACGCUGGCGGCAGGCCUAACACAUGCAAGUCGAACGCUCCGCAAGGGGAGUGGCGCACGGGUGAGUAACACGUGGGAACCUACCUUCUGGUACGGAACAACCAAGGGAAACUUUGGCUAAGACCGUAUACGACCUCCGGGUGAAAGAUUGAUCGCCGGAAGAGGGGCCCGCGUCCGAUUAGGUAGUUGGUGAGGUAACGGCUCACCAAGCCUUCGAUCGGUAGCUGGUCUGAGAGGAUGACCAGCCACACUGGGACUGAGACACGGCCCAGACUCCUACGGGAGGCAGCAGUGGGGAAUAUUGGACAAUGGGCGCAAGCCUGA